GAUCUGAACAACAAAAUUCAUUGACUUAGGAUGAGAUGAUGCCUCCACCAUGAAACCUAAAUUCUGAAGCCUGAGGAAGUCCUGAAGGACCCCAGCCAUCACGAUUAGCCCCUGAUCAAUCCGUUUGGAAGAAUCUGAGAGACCAGCACAAUAGUGUUCACAAAAUUAGGGGCUGAGGCAGCUACCUUGGACCAUGAGAUGGAAGUCCAGCAUUGGUAAGGACCUGAGAAUUCUUGACCCAGUCAUCCCAAGAUGCACUCACCCAGAGGGUCAGCUUUUCCAUCCUUGUCUGGAACUGUGAACACCCCUACUACUCGGUGGCCCUCUUUGCGGAGGUGGCUAUAGACUUCUUGUCCAAAGAGGCUCUGGCCAAUUAGUGCCAACUUCAGCUUGUUUUUGAAAUAAACCUGUGAAACAA